GAAGGGCCUCCCUUGGCCAAAGUUGGGAGAACUUAAGUAUCAAAAAAGAAAAAUAAUUGCAAUGAAUUAAACAUGUUAAAUAAAAACAUUUAAAAAUCGAAGACUUUAUGAUGGUAUUUAAAAUAAAAACUCAGUGGUCACUUUUGGAGCUUGUUAAAAUACCAACAAAAAUUACCCUGGAAAUUUAUAGUUAAGGAAAGAGACUCAAGCAUAUAUCCUGCCUUUCCUGCAAGAACCAGAUUUUAAGGCAACCAGAUAGUUGACGAAAAAAAGUUCUCCUUGAUGAAAGAAGGAUAAUAAUAGGCUUGAAAAAAAUCCCAUUUUGAAAAUUUUAAUGAAGUAACAGAUUUGGGCAAUUAUCACUGAUGGUGGCUGUAACCAUUAGGUGAACAAUUAGUGGGGAGGUAUUUGUAGAACAUAUGUGAGACUGGUGACACCUGAAUCCUGUCAUCAAUCUAAACAUUACUGAAAGUGUAAUGUCCAGGCAUUAUAUUCAUCUUGAUGUGAUAUAAUGGAAAGUAUAUACUACCAACAGCCACUCCCCCCCAAAAGUUUCUGAAUCAUUAACUAUGAAUUUUAAGAAAGUAUGGAAGAUAAAGAAGCAUGUUGAAAGCACCAUGAAGAUUAUGGUCAGCCUAAUCCAGAAUGUGAGAAAUUAUGAGACAAAUGACUCAGUUUCCUCAGCAAACAAAUGGCACAAAAAGGAGGGGAAAGUGUUAUAGAUCGCAAGAAACUUAAGAGACAUAUCAAUGAAAAGCAAUAUUUGGUAUUAUUUGUUUUCUGAUUCUAACAGACCAGUUAUAAAAAUACAUUUGUGAUAAUUGAAGAAAGUUGAAUCAGCCUAUUUAUUCGAUAUUAAUAAAUUAUUUAUUAAUUUUAUUAGAUGUGAUAAGAGUGCCAUAGUCAUGCUAACAAGCAUUGCUGAUGAGAUAUACAUAUCAAAUAAUCUAUUAGUAAAAUAAUAUGCUAACUGGAAUUCAAAAUUAUCUGAAAAAAUAAAAGUUUGGUAGGCACAAAAAGAGAUGAAGGAAGAAACAGCAGAAAAUGAAUAGUGGAUGAAGCUGGUUGAGGAGGCAUAUGGAUUCAAUGAACCAUAUUUCCUACUUUAGGGAGUGUUUGAAAAUGUUGGUAAGAAAUAGUCUGAAAUGUGAAGUACAAAUAUGGAAACGAGGUGGGCUGGUUCCUGAUCCCAGCCUAUUCUAAAAACUCGGAACCCCCAGGGAGGGUCAUGGUGUUAGAUUGAGGCCCACUGCAGGUAAUUGACAUCCCUGUGGCACCUGGGUGCUGCCCACACACUAGCCUGUAGGACGUAAGAAGACCUCGGAGACUAGAAAUCACCUGCAGACUGGAGACAGGUUAAAAAGGGCUCUUAGCCCAAACUGAUACUGAAGCAUCUCAAAUUUUAUAAUGCAAAAAGUUAUUAAAUCAGCAACAUUUAUAUUGCCACAUGCUUGCUUUGUAUAUCAUUGACGUUGUUCCUAAAAUGUGUGGUUAAUCAUUUCUGAAAAUUUUAUAUUGAUCUAUUUUAUAUAAUUUAAUUCAAUUUUGUUUAACAAACAUUAAUAAGCUCCAAGUGAUCAAGGUACCAUGGGGGUGGGAGUCAGGGUUGGGGAGUAACAAAUAUUAGAAAGAAAAAACAUCUUGCUCUGCCUUUUUGGUGAUUACAGUCUAACGGGAGGCAGGCAAACAAGCAGAGAAAUGUGACAUAAGUGAUAAGAGAAGGACAUGAGCAAAUAAAAGCAUUUUAGAUGACUGAAGGGAACAUAAGACCAUGCUAUCAGCCUUCCUGGAACACUACCAACCUACCACAAACAGCCACAUUUAAGCCCUCUAUCCUCUAAUUCUGAUGCUAAAGUUCUGAUUCCAUUUAUAAGCCAUCAUCUCAUCUCAUCUUCUAUGCAGUGCACGAGACUCUCUGAAAUAGGUUGGUACCUUUGGACAAUUAAAAUGAAUGCAGUAAUUGGAAAUAUGAAGGUGCUCUCACAGGAAUUGUGUUCUUGCUAUGUUGUAUAUGCAUGUGUAGGAAUGUUAAAAUGUUAACAUGUCUUUGACUGCAUAACUGCAAUCAUUAUUAGUUAAAUAGUAAAAUGUUCUUUUCCAAUUCUACUUUUAUACAUUCAUUCACUUAACAAAUACAUAUACCUCUGUGUGCCAGUCACUGUCUAGGCACUACAGACAAAGAAGUGGACUUGAGAGACAAGGUCCUUGCCUUUAUGGGCUCAUAUUUAGAUAUCUGGAAAUUAAACCAACUUGUAAACAACUAUUUCAAAUAAAGGAUAAACAGAAGGAGGUGUGGGGUGGAAGAAUGAAUAUUAUUAGAUUAGUCUAAAGAGGCCUCUCUUGAGAAACUACAUUUGAGCUGAGUCCAAAAUGAUAUAGAGGCAGCCAUGUGAACAGAUAGGGAGAGAGUGUUCCAGGCAGAGGGCACAGCAAAUGCAAAACCUUUGAGAAGAAAACCAGCUUAGGAUAUUCAAGGAUAAAAAAGAAGAAAAGAAAAACAGCAUGCUGGAAGCAAACUGAGCUGGGAGAUGAGUGGUACUAUAUGAGAUUAGAGAGAAAGUCAAGGCUAUGUGCAAGGAGUAAUCAUGCAUCUCGGUUUCCUUGUAAGGUUCAGUCUCAGUUUGUACCUGUUGUCCUCUUCUUGACUAAUAGGGCUCCUUUUAUCUCACACAUGUCCUAGAGGGGAGUAGAAAUGAUACUGUCACUCUACUCAGACUUUGGAUCCUAUUCCAAGUGCAGUGGGAAGCCAUGAAGUGAUUUUACGCUAAAGAAAGGCAAGAUGUGAUGUAUCUUUUGAAAGAGCACUGUUAUAUUUUAUGCAAAAUCUCAACUGAUUUUUCCCUGUUAAUAAUAACUAAUACUGAUGAUGAUUACUGUUAGUUUACUGGACCAACAGAGGUGAUUUCCCAGGUCUCCACUCCAAUUUUUUUUCACAUGAUCACAUAACCACAUAAGUCAAAUAAACAUGGACUGGACACAAAUACACACUCAUCUACUUAUUCUCUAUGCCAAGGCAGUGGAAGAAUAUGGAAUGUGUAAUAUUUUAUAAACGUCCUUUUACUAAAUGUUAUUAGUAAAUUAUUCCCUUACAUAUAUAGCAUUGAAUCAACAGCUCAUUCAUCUUCAGGGAACAUAUCAAAUAUACUGUUUAGGUAGCAUGAUGGCAUGGUGCUAAGAACAUUAAAUUAAGAGGAAGGCACCUUGAAUUCUGGCCAUUUGGAAUAAUUUGUUUAAACAUGUUAGGUCUCAGUUUCAUCAACUACAAAAUGGAAGUUUAGAGUUUUUUAUUUCUUUCAGGGUAGGAGUGUCAAUACUUGAAAAUAGAACUAAAAUAAUGUGGAGGAGAGAGUGAAAGUAAGGAGAAUGGAGAGAGAAGAACUAAGACAAGGAUUAGAAGGAGAAAAAAAGAAUGAGGAGGGAAGGAGAGAGAUGGGGAGAAGGAGGAGAAGAGAGUGAAAGAAGAGGAAGAGGAGGAGGAGGAAGAAAGCAAAGGGAAAUAGGAAAGGAAAAGGGGGAGAAGGAAGAGGGAGGAAAGGAAAAAGAAGCAGGAAGAGGAAAGAAGGGAAAGGAAGAGGGGAAAAGAGAAGCCAGGGAAGGAAAUUAAGCUGACAGAGUGAAUCAGUCAGGGUUUUUGUUGCAAGCAACAGAAAUUUGGUUUAUUUAAGCAGAAUUAUCAUUUAUUCCCAAGUGGGCCAGAUAAUUGGCUUGGAGACUUUCACCAAGAACCAAGUCCAACUUUGUAUUGCCCAACAUAAAGCCUAGUAGGGCUGGUCUUAUAGAGACACUGAUGUCACUGUUUCCAGGCACAGAUUUUGAGGCUUAUACUGCAGAUACUCAUAGUGCCAGAUGCUGACUAGAGCUCUUGCCACCCUAACCCAAAGGAUAGGUCUUUGCAUCAUCAGUUCUCAAAUCCACAUCCUCCAAGAGAGCAUCUAAUUGGCAAAACCAAAGACACAUGCCUGUGUCCUCUCUUCAAGCAAUUUUCCUAGACUUUUUAUGGAAAGAGGUCACUGUUUCCCACCCACACUCAUAAGGUAGAAAAUUCCUUACACAAAAAAAGCAAGAUGUAUGCUGGGCAUACAAAAAGAAUGACACAUGUUCAUUAUAAGAGAACAGAGUAUAUUUAGUGAUAAAUUAGCUUUGUGGUAAAAAUAUUUUACUAUGAAAAUGGUAACACAGACCAGGUACAGUGGCUUAUGUUUGUAAUUCCAGCACUUUGGGAGGCUGAGGUGGGGGGAUUGCUUGAUUCCAGGAGUUUGAGACCAGCUUGAGCAACACAGUGUGACCCUGUCUCUACAAAAUUUUUACAAAUUAGCUGGGUGUGGUGGCACACAUGUGUAGUCCCAGCUACUCAUCUACUCAGGAGGCUGAGGUGGAGGUGGGAGGAUUGCUUGAUCCCAGAGGGUUGAGGGUACAGUGAGCUAGGCUUAUGGCACUGCACUCCAGCCUGGGUGACAAAGUGAGACCCUGUUUCAAAUUAUAAUAAUAAUAAUAAAUUAUUUAAAAAAUACUAAGAGAAAGAAGAAAGAAAGAGAGAGAAAGAAAGAAAGAAAGAAAGAAAGAAAGAAAGAAAGAAAGAAAGAAAGAAAGAAAAGAGGUAAUAUAAUUGAUCUAGGGUUAAGUGAAUAAAGUAUAAUAUAUUUCUCAGUUCUGAUUAUUCCAAGGAAUCUUUUAGUCUGGUGUCAGGGAGAGAAUGGAGACCACAAAUCUCUUUCCUUUUCUUCAUAGCAAGAUGGAAGAAGCCAAAGAUUCGAGCUCUUUCUCUCAAAUGUAGCUUUUCAAACAGCAAGUCCUAAGUCUCAAGUUAGGAAGUGAAAGUGUCAUAGCUCUCUGAUGCUGGCUAAAAUUUUACUUUAAGUUUCUUGUCCUUGAAGAGAAACAGGAAGCACAUUUUCUUAUCAGCCAAAGCAGAAUGAGUUCUUUUAGCAAGGUCCCACCCCCUGAGAGUGAACUUUGCACUGCCCAAAUAUGUGCGUGGAGCUCAUUUGUGCUCUAAUUGAAUCCUUUAAAGCAACACAGCUGGAAGACUCAGAUCUCACUUCCUUGAUAUUCUACAGUCUGCAGUUCAUUUUUGCCAAGCCAAAAAGUGACUUGUGGAGGGAAAAAUAACCCUAACAACAACAACAUUUAAAAAGAAACAAAACCAGAGGAACUAUCUGACAUUUUGGUGCAUCAGUUUAGUCAGUAUAUUCCUGCUGCUCGGAAUAAUUUCUCUGGACCUAGAACUCAACUUCUUCUUAGAUAAUUUAUAAUCAUGGAAACCAUACAGAUCCCUGAGGUCAGGGAGCCACAGCGAGACCACAUCCUUUGUUUUCAUUUCUCAGCUCCAAGUUAAGCUGCUUAUUGUGCCUGGAUCCAAGAUGUACAAAUCAUCCAGAGUGGCUGGGUUGUGUAAGAAUGUUUCAACUGGCAUGAUGCCUGCUCUAUCAAUACAAAUGGCUUAACUAUUUUCUGAUAAACCAAAGAAUCAUCCUACAUGGCUCUCCUGAAACUGUAACUGUCUCUGAGCUGGCAGAGGAAGACUUGCAAGGGUUUUGUGUUUGAGAAUCAUCUGCAGAUUGAGUUUUACAGGAGCUGGUUCCCUUACUUUGACACCCUGGGAGCAACUUCAUAUAAAGAACAGAUCAGCAUCUGAAUAUGGAACAGUAGGUGUCAGGCCUCUGAGCCUAAGCUAAGCCAUCAUAUCCCCCGUAACCUGCAUGUACACAUCCAGAUGGCCAGUUCCUGCCUUAACUGAUGACAUUCCACCACAAAAGAAGUGAAAAUGGCCUGUUCCUGGCUUAAUGGAUGACAUUAUCUUGUGAAAUUCCUUCUCCUGGCUCAUCCUGGCUCAAAAGCUCCCCUACUGAGCACCUUGUGACCCCCACUCCUGCCCACCAGAGAACAACCCCUUUGACUAUAAUUUUCCUUUACCUACCCAAAUCUUAUAAAACGGCCCCAACCCAUCUCCCUUCGCUGACUCUCUUUUCGGACUCAGCCCGCCUGCAC
rnacentral:lncRNA from 1 species